CAGACUUCACAUAUCUGUUAUCAUUAUAGGAAAUGUAAGCUCAAGAUUAUCUUAUCAACUUAGAAACAUAUUCCCCUUAUGCAAACUCUACUGGAAUGUUGCAUCAUUAAAAUGGAAAAUAAAUUAUAAGAAGCUGAAAUGCAACAAGUUAGAUAUUACAAUGUCACAAUGGAAAGGAAAGUAAGAUUGAAUUGUGGCUAAGAUAAGAGGAACAUAUACGUGGUCAUCUGUUAUACAGAUUCAUGUUUACGUCAACCUAAUCAUUAUGAUGUCCUUUAAAUUUUCGAAAUAGUUGUAUGAUCAAAUGACUAUUACAUAAC
rnacentral:lncRNA from 1 species